UACAGAGGGUGCAAGCGUUGCUCGGAAUUAUUGGGCGUAAAGGGUAGGUAGGUGGUCUCAUUUGUGUGGGGUGAAAGCCUUGGGCUUAACUCAAGAAGUGCCCCGCAAACGGUGAGACUGGAGUACUGGAGAGGCUAGCGGAAUUCCCGGUGUAGCGGUGAAAUGCGUAGAUAUUGGAAAGACCGCCAAUGGCGAAGGCACUCUACUGGGCCACAACUGACACUGAGAGACGAAAGCUAGGGGAGCAAAUGGG
rnacentral:rRNA from 1 species